GGCUGAAUUUUUAUACAAGUCUUUAUUUACAACUUGUUUAACAACUGUACACUUUUUGCAGCCUUGAAAACAUUUUUGUACUUGAAUGGGAAAAUAUAGUUUGACCAAAUCUUAACUUUAUUCUUCAUAUACAUAUACAUAUAUUAUAUGCAUACAUAUAAACACAUACAUAUAAUUAAUACCGUAACAAGUUGGCAGUCGUAAAAUUAAAAUGAGUAAAUGAUAUCAAAAGGAAAUACAAGAUUUCAAAAACACUAAAAAUCCAUCUUCUGGUGGUUUCCUGGACUUUAUGUUUUUGUGAUUUUAGUUGAAAUUUCUUACUGAGGCUCUGUAACAAGUCAUUCACCUCAGAAAAACAGCCAGAAAACCCACCAAUCUCAACACAUAGUAAAUGGUUGGAAAACUCAGUAAACAGGUGGAAAAAUGCUUGGACAUCAUUAUGUACAACACUGCUAAAUCUGUAUUUCAUUUUUGAAGUGAGAAGUUCCAAGUCUGAUGUGGACAUUGUUUUUGGAUUAUAAUGACAAAGAAUGAAAUUCUGAAAAAUGUAAAUUCAAUACUCAAUCAGAAAUAAGAAUAUACCUAGCAAUAUCCUUUUUGCAAAGACUAAAAUGCAAGGUGGAUUACUACAAUGUCAAAUAUGAAACUAACAACAAUUCACAGAACAAUCAAUGGUACUUAAGACAUGAAUAUAAGGCUUCAGAGUUGGGGCUGUACUCAAUACAACUCCAGCUCCAAUGUACUAAGGUUUCAUCCAGCUCAUCUAAAAAGUUUUAAAAAUACUACAGGGGGAAAAAAAAGCCUCUUUCUAUCCCCAAGUUUUUUGAUAUAAUUUAUUAAUCAAACUAAGGCAAAUUAUUAUUAGAUAUGUUUGAAUUUUACUAUUCAUUUCAUAAUCAAAAAUUGAGUAUUGUAAAUGGUGGGCAAUUGUCAAAACAUGAAAACUGCAAAACAAGAUAAGCCUAGAAAUUAUUUUCUAAGUACAAAGCAUUCUGAAUUACACAGAACCUGUAAACAGCAAAGUUCAUGACAGCGAUGAUAUUUUAGUGCAUUUGAAUUAUAAAUAACUAAGGCUGUUAAAAAAUAAAAGAUUUGGGCCGGGCGCAGUGGCUCAUGCCUGUAAUCCCAGCACUUCAGGAGGCCAAUGCGGGCAGAUCACGAGAUCAAGAGAUCGAGAUCAUCCUGGCCAACAAGGUGAAACCCCGUCUCUACUAAAAAUACAAAAAUUAGCUGGAUGUGGUGGCAUGUGCCUGCAGUCCCAGUUACUUGGGAGGCUGAGGCAGGAGAAUAGCUUGAACCUGGGAGGCGGAGGUUGCAGUGAGGCGAGAUCGUGCCACUGCUCCAGCCUGGUGACACAGCAAGACUCCGUCUCAAAAAUAAAUAAAUAAAUAAAUAAAAGAUUGCUGUUAAAGACAUUAAAAGGCCCCAAAUCACUGAUUAGCAUUUGUGUACAGUCAUUUCUUGUAUUUAGAGUAAAAUGCUAUUUCUUAUUUCAAGCAUAUUGAAAACGUCCCUUAACUAAUAUGAAUCGCUACAGAACACAUACUAAAGUAGGUCACCAAGAAGAUAAUAAACUGAAGUCACACCACUUACUCAUCUGUACUUGAACUACAAUAAGAAUCAUCAUAACUUGCUUGGAAUUCGACACUGCUGGAUCAAGUCUGUUGCUUGAUUACAAAAAUUUAAAGAGAAAGAAGAAAGCAUCAAGAUUUCCUAACAAAAUAAUUGUAAGCACCAAGCUGACUCAAAAGGAUUAUGGUUAGUCCCUUAUUUCCAUUAAAAAAUUUAGACAUGUUACUAUAGAUCCAUUUAGUUAUGUUAAGCACUUUAGUAGCAGGCCAAGUAAAUUAAUACAUAUUUUUAAAUGUUUUCAUUAGCUAAGUCACUGGAAUAGUAAAUGCCUUAUACAUAAAACUUAAUUUGAUUCAUAAUACAAGUUAAUAAGAGCAGGAAGUUAUGAAGAUAAAAAAAUUGUUUGCAUCUUGAUGUACCUUUGAGGUGGACUUUCAGGGGAAAUGUUUAAGGGACAGAAACAAAAAAAACUGUUGGCAAUGUUCAUUAGAUCUAUAUAAAUUUAAAAGGAAGGAUAUCAUUAAAUCUAUCAAUCUUUAUUUGAAAUAAGCAUUCAUAUGAAUUUGCCUGAUAAAUGUUAACUAUAUAACAUCAAUUUAUAUUAUUUUUUUUUAGAGACAGGGGUCUUGCUUUGCCACCCAGGCUGGAUUCAUAAAACCUAUCUGUUACAGGGGAACUCAGAAUGCUUUUGCAGCCUGCCAUCUUUAGUGCCUGCCUUUCCAGUCACCUCUUCCCCACCAUUUUCCUGAUCCUCCGACUUGACAGCUCCCAGAACUUGGCUUUCCUGUCUUUUAGGUACAUGCAGUGACGGAGGCACUGCUGAAGUUAGGGGCAAUCUGCAGGUUUGUGUUUCAGGAGGCAGGCAAACCAAAGGUAAGAACAUCUUCUGAUUAACUGUAAGAUGGGAUAAUUUUUAUGAAUACAACUUCAGAAAGCAUCAAGUUUCAAGGGUGUUUGCGUUUGAAAGGAUUUGGCUUCUAAGUAUUACAUUAUAAAAGAGUCUUCUUAAGGAGACAUGUAAAAAGUAACUCAUAUCCAGUAGCUCCAACCCAGCUUCCAACAGAUUUCUAGACUUAGACCUUUAGAUUCCUGACUCUAAGAUAACAGAAAAUGCCAGAAAGGUAGAGGGGAAGAGGGAAAAUAAUGAUCUAAUAUUAGUAAAGUGCUACAAAUUUUGCAGUAAAAUAUACUACAUAAAUGACUAGAAGUAACAGUAAAUAAUAUUAAGAUACUAUAUAAAGACUAUAUAUUAAGACACUAAAUAAAAUACACACACUAUAGAAUGUACACGGAGUAAUCACUACCCAUGGGUUGACAAAUACACCAGAAUAAACAUGAGUCCUUUUUAUUAAUUUUACAACAUAACUGCUAAAGUAAUUAUUUUCCUUCAUCAAGCUAGUUACCACUCAAGUGUUAACGCCUACCUGGAAGUCUCCCAUGUUAAAGCCUCAACAUGCUUUGGUAGUCUUCUUUCUCUCAAGUAGGAGUUGCUUUUCUCAUGAUACCUAAUUCUUCCUCUAAGCUCUAAGUAGAUAUAAUUCGGAUUUGAUAGUCCCAUGGGCCCAAACUUUGAGGCCGUGGACACCUCUGAUUUCACCUUUAUCAGGUAAAUAAUGGCACAAUGUUGAAUAUACUUUAAAAAUGUCUACUUUUGCCUUCAUUUAAAACAAAACUGUGUGGGGCUACUGUGUGUAAGUAAGAAGGACAUAAAAUUGAGCCUAUGGCUUGCAAACUAGAUAAAGCAGAUCUAGAUAACACCAAGUUGGUCACGAUUUUCAGCCACCGCAGAUUUCUUCUCAUCUCAUCAAAUCAUAGUAUCCUUGGCGACCUAAAAUCACUUUCUCAGCUUUAGUAAUAGCCAAACAGUCUCAAAAUGAAAAUAAGUGUUUUUCCCUUUACUAGUAAACAUAUACAACUACAUUAUGCACCUAGUUAAUACUCAAUGAAGGGAAGGACAAUUAGAAAAUAAAUUAGAUAUUUGUUUACUCUUUUACUGAAUAAUCAUGUAAUACAGAGGAUUUUAGGCAAACUAUUGCUUUGGGAACAUCUGUUUAGAUAAUGCAAGUUUUCAUUGUAUUAGGACUUCCCUCUGCCUGCAUAUUUGUUUAUAAUUAGGCUAUUUCUUAUCCCAAUGAUCCACUCCACUUUCUAGGAAUGAAUUUGCCUUAAUAGCCUUCCAUUAUGUUCUUAGGUUUCUAUACUCAUGCAAACACACACAGCAUGCAAACCGAGUCUUACAGAGUAUUACUGGAAAUUAUAAGAAAACAGAAAACUUCUGAAGAGACAUCAAGUAAUUCCUGAUCUAUAUCUAUAUAUUUAUCUAUCAUAGGAAAACAUUUAUAACCCCCCACAAUCACCAAAACUCAUAUACUUGCCAUAAUUAGGUACAGGUCUCUUGUUUCUCAAACAAAUGUCCCUUUCUCUAUCAUUUCAGUCAAUGUGGAGAAUCCAAGGAUGCCCAUGUUUUAAGUCAACAUGAAUUAAAUGUUUUAUAAGUUUCUAUAGUCAUAUAGAUAAUACAUGUGAAAUGGUUUGAUAAAAGGCUAUUUAAAAAAUAAAAUCAUCUAUAUAUACUUCCCCAGAAAAUCAUCAGUGAUUUAAAAGAGAUGGAUGCCACCCCAUUUGUGCUGCCCCUUGUUUUCUAGAAAGGAAGCUAAAUAUUAAUACUUCGGUAAUUUGAGGGAUUGGGUGGAAAUUAGCUCUGUUAGCAUAUUAUGUUAUGUUUUUUAGGCUUCUGGGAACUGAACAGCAUUUGCUGCAAAACUUUAGACCACUUCUGUGUUAAAACUGGACAAUAAAACAUUUUCAACAAAAGGAACAUACACCAAUUAUUAUUUAAAUAUUCUUUAUAGAUAGAAAAUAAAAAAUUAGACGACAGAUACAUUGAGAAUAGCCUUCCUCAUAGAAAAAACUUCAUGAUAUAAAACAUUCAAAUCAUUAUUAUAGUUAUCAAGAAUAAGCUCUGAAACCUCCUUCUAAAUGUAAUGAAACUAGGUUGGAUAAUUACCAAAAGAAACUGCCAUUUUGACAGAAUGAUAGGAAGAGAGAUUAUCCUUAUUGAAUGGAAAAUCCUUCUAAUUUAUAAAAAUGAAAAAAUAGAAAAAAUGAUAAAAUAAUUUUCAAAGAUUCUGACAUCCCAUUUGAUUUUGCUCAGAAUAGUCUUUCAUCCUACUGUAUGGUAUUACACAGGCUUCACUGUUGAGAAGUACAAUGCUACAUCAGUUUGACGGCCACUGCUAGGCAAAGAAUCCCUUCAUAAUAUAAGAAUAAAAACUCAAAAUAUUCUUCUACAGUUUCAUGAAUAGACAACAAAAAGCACUUUGUCUUCAUGUUGUUAUUUUGCCCUCAGCAAAAAGCAAGAUACCAAGCACUUUCCUCUCACUUUAGAAACAAAGAUGUUCUUAUCCACGUGGCUGUAAACUAGCUCGGUUUCCACUAGCUGUGGGUUGUGGAUGCUUUCUCAGAUAAAUCACACAUGAUCCAACUGGGGAUAACUGGAGUUAUCCUGGACUCAGAGAUCUAGAUAAUAGGAGACUAAAUGCAGAGUUAAGAGAAUUUUUAAAAGUAAUUUAGAUUUUUGUUUCAAGAUAAUUCUUAUAUUGGGAUAAAGACUUCCAAGUUUUUAACAUGCUGUUAUCAUUAAAAUGACAGGUGAAUUUUUGUGAGGGAGCAGGAGAGGCUGAAAAAUAUUUCAAACAAUUACUUAGCAAACGAGAAUAAACCAAACUGCUACUUUCGAAAAGGAAAUAGGAGGCUGGGGCAGUAACACACGCUGAUGUUUCUGACUGGAUAACAUUUAGCUUAAUUUUGUACAGUUGAGCUUUUAUUAUAUUAACAAUAAAACCUCAACAAAAUUACAGACAGCAAUUUCAUCCUUAUUAUAGUCUAAUAAUCUAAUUAAAACACUUAGGUUAAGGAUGUCUAAUAGAAAUGUCAAUCUUGGUAAAUUUUGGAACACAGGGUCUUUAGGGACUUUUUUCUGCAUUACUAUCAAAUAGACAAAUGGUAAAAGAUAUGACGGAGUUUUUCAAAGUUCUUUAAAAAUAUGUACAAUUGUAUACUUGAUUCUCUUUUCAGAUAUUAUACACUACUAUAUUUUCUGGAUUACAAACUUCUGAAAUACACACUGUGGAACAUAAAUGCUAGGUUUUAAUAUUCUUUAGUUCUUUACUUUGUAUUUUCUCACCCUGGUUAGAAGGAAAACAGAAAAUGAUCUUCCUGUUUAUAAGACUUCAGACACUGUGGUGACAGUGUGCUCCAACCCAACACAGCAACCCUGUACUUGCUCCAUGCUGGUGCCUGGACAAGCUCCACUGCACAAGCCAACGUGGCCCCAGGAAGGUGCUGUAUGCGAGAGUUUGUAAAAAUACAGCACAGCAUCACUCACGAUGAGGCAAAGCUCCUAGUGACUUUAAAUUUCCAGAUAGACCAGACAACAUCACGAAUCUCCUGAGGAAUCAUUAAUCAUUACUAGAGAAACAGAAACGUCAUAAACCCUGUCCAAAGCUGGACACCGGACAUGGAGUUGCCACCGUUAGAGCUAAAUUUUAUUCUUGGCUUUCUGAUACCUAAAGUAUAUUCAGAAGUUUUUUUUUUUUUUUUUUUUACAACAGCCUGUUUUGUUUUUAAACAUCAUAAAAUGUUUAGAAAUAUAAUUUCUCCUAUGUAAUGAAACUAAUACACUGAAUUUUAUAGGUAAAAGAGAAUGAAAAUUAUAAAUGUAGGCUGGGCGCGGUGGCUCACGCCUGUAAUCCCAGCACUCUGGGAGGCUGAGGCGGGUGGAUCACGAGGUCAGGAGAUCGAGACCAUCCUGGCUAACAUGGUGAAACCCCGUCUCUACUAAAAAAUACAAAAAAUUAGUCGGGCGUAGUGGCGGGCGCCUGUAGUCCCCGCUACUCAGGAGGCUGAGGCAGGAGAAUGGCGUGAACCCGGGAGGCGGAGCUUGCAGUGAGCCGAGAUCGCGCCACUGCACUCCAGCCUGGGUGACAGAGCGAGACAUCAUCUCACAAAAAAAAAAAAAAGAAAGAAAAUUAUAAAUGUAAACAUCAAAAUAAUAGCAUACAACAGAUGCUGAAGAAAAGUCAGAAGUACGACUGGGCGCGGUGGCUCGUGCCUGUAAUCUCAGCACUUUGGGAGGCCGAGGUGGGUAGAUCACGAGGUCAGGAGUUUGAGACCAGCCUGGCCAACAUGGUGAAACACCAUCUCUACUAAAUUACAAAAAUUAGCCAGCCAUGGUGGUGGGCACCUGUAAUCCCAGCUACUCUGGAGGCUGAGGCAGGAGAAUUGCUUGAACCCGGGAGGCAGAGGCUGCAGUGAGCCGAGAUCAUGCCACGGCACUACAGCCUGGGUGACGGAACGAGGCUCCGUCUCGGGGGGAAAAAAAAGUCAGAAGUAAAACUCCCCUCUAAAAGCCUGGGGCCUUUCCAACCCAGAUAGAGAAAAAAUAUCUGGGUAGGUGGAUGGGUAGGAGAUUAGGACUGGGGCUGUAAAUAGAAAAUGAAAAUGAAAACCUCUCAUCUCACAGAACAAAAUUCAUUCAGUGAGUAGUUCACAGACUGUUUUUUUUUUUUUUUUUUUUUUUUUUUUUCUUGCGACAGAGUUUCGCUCUUGUCGCCAGGCUGGGGUGCAAUGGCGCCAUCUCGGCUCACUGCAAUCUCUGUCUCCCAGGUUCAAGCAAUUCUCCUGCCUCACCCUCCCAAGUAGCUGGGACUACAGGCACACACCACCAUGCCUGGCUAAUUGUUUGUAUUUUUAGUAGAGACGGAGUUUCACCAUGUUGGACAGGCUGGUCUGGAAGUCCUGACCUCAGAUGAUGUGCCUGUCUCGGCCUCCCAAAGUGCUGGGAUUAUACGCGUGAGCCACUGCACCUGGCUGUUGUUUUCAUCCAUCAUAUUCUGCAGGUACAAUUUUCCCAAAAUUUUAACUUACCAAGGUUAGUGCUCAUAUUCCAAUUUGAUUGAUUGAUUGAUUGACUGAUUGAGACAGAGUCUCACUCUGUCGCCCAGGCUGGAAUGCAGUGGUGCGAUCUCAGCUCACUGCAGUCUCUGGCUCCUGAGUUCAAGUGACUCUCCUGCCUCAGCCUCCCAAGUAGCUGGGAUUACAGCCACAUGCCACCAUGCCCAGCUAAUUUUUGUAAUUUAGUAGAGAUGGGGUUUCACCAUGUUGGCCAGGCUGGUCUCAAACUCCUGACCUCAAGUGAUCCACCCCCACCUAGGUCUCCCAAAUGGUGAGAUUGCAGGCGUGAGGCACCACGUCUGGCCCCAAUUUGCUUUAAAAAUAGUUGGAUCCUCAGGCUAUUUGUGAAACACGGGUAGAGGUAAGAACCGUCUGAAAGUUUUUAAUCUUUUACUUUGGAAACUUUGCAGUUGAUCAGGUCUGCGUAGCCUCCUGAAGCCCUACAGCAGUUCUACUCAUGGCUAUCUCCAUUUAUCCCUAACUUCUGCUGCUUUGUGGUCCUGUCAGGCAGAAGCAUUCAUGCUGUGCUCAGACUUCUGUACUUAAUGUAAAAAAUUAGCACAAUGUAUGGCUCCAGUUCUGUGUAUACUCUAAUAUCUUUCUUCAACUACGGCUUCUGAGGACAAACAAAUACCACUGAUUUUUAGGUCAUCUUUCUUAUUAAAAAGAAAGAAAGAAUUUAAAAAUCAAACACUUGAAUAUAGUUGCUGAAAAUUCUUAAUUACAUUUAGCUUGAUUUGAGGUUACUUAUUCGUAUUUAACAUAAAGAACCAAAUGAAACCUGAACUUGCAAAUAGCAAGUACAUGAGAAAACAUCCUCCUAUAUUAAGUGACCUAACCUAAAAAUAAACAAAAAAACCAUGACCUAAUUUCAGAAAUGUUUUGCUUUCAAAAAAUGGGCUACGUUGCAAGAAAAAAGACUUAAAUAUAAUUUGGGACCAAAUACAUAAGUCAAUAUGGAAAGUUAGAAGGCAUUUCAUUUAUAAAUGAAUGAUAUUUCACACUUAUAUAGCACCUUAUAUAUACAAAGUGCUUUACAAUGAUUAUUCAACAGCCCAUUCAUCAAUGUAAAUAAAUGUGGUUUACAAUCUGUUAACAAAUGUAAGCACUUUGAGGCAACCAAAUAUCCAAGAAAAUCUAUUUAGUAACAAAUUCCUGGACUAGCAGAUAGAUGUGAGAAAAAACGUAAAGAGAUCUGCCAUAAUAUAACAUACAAGAAGUUACUAAUGUUAGUGACUGAUAUUAAGAUAUCAAGUGUUAGGAAUUGUUAAAAAAUGGAAGGGUUUAUAUUAAAGAACAAGUAAAACAAAUGGGGCAUAAGUCAACAAACAGCCCAAAAAUAAGACUACCAAUAACUUGUACAUAUAUGAAAGAUAACUCUUUUAGAUGUGGAAAGCAACUGAAGGUAUGUCAACCACAUUGUUAGAAAAUGAUCCUCAGUUACUAAGAUAUUCCAAAAGAACAAGAAAUUAAUGCAGUGUCUAAUUUUUUUUCUUUUGUAAUUUAUCCCAAAAUAACCUCACCAAACAUUCACUUCUGCCAGCAAACAAGAUAGCAGGAAAUAAUGAAAUUUUAUGUAUUUAUGUUUUAAAAAUAGUCUCCAAAUCUUUGGACAAAUUUAAUUUCCUAUAAAACAAUGUGAAAACUCAUUUUUUCCUCAAAUAAUUCUUCCAGGUGCCUUAGGGAAGAUGUGAUUAGCACCUCUGCCAAUGUAUUCAAGUCUUUGCAAAAAGA
rnacentral:lncRNA from 1 species